GACGUAGGGCGCGAGCGUUGUCCGGAUUUAUUGGGCGUAAAGAGCUCGUAGGCGGCUUGUUGCGUCGACCGUGAAAACCCGUGGCUUAACUGCGGGCUUGCGGUCGAUACGGGCGGGCUGGAGUUCGGUAGGGGAGACUGGAAUUCCUGGUGUAGCGGUGAAAUGCGCAGAUAUCAGGAGGAACACCGGUGGCGAAGGCGGAUCUCUGGGCCAUUACUGACGCUGAGGAGCGAAAGCGUGGGGAGCGAACAGG
rnacentral:rRNA from 1 species